rnacentral:lncRNA from 1 species
CUUAAAGUGGCCUGCAAUGAGAAGGUGAGUUCACAAAGAGUUCUUCUAUGUCCUACUAGGAGAGGUCUCUUAGGUGCUGCUCUGGGUGCAAGUCCAAGGCUGUAAGUGACCUUCCAAAUGGUCCAUGAACCAGCAGACCCAAAGUGCUAUGCGUUAGCAUUGACAGAUACAUUGAUGUGUAAACAAUGUGCAGAGAGCUUCUUGCACCCCAGUGCUGGCCACAUCCUCUUACACACUGCUGAAUGAAUCUUGGUUUUCCGGGGAAGGGACAUUUUCAGCACCUUGUCCAGGCUGCUGGGGUUUGGCACGCUGCUACUGCUGCUGCUGUUGCUGAUCCUGCCACCGGAGGGUCCCUGGAAUUUUCCUUUAUGGAGCUCAGCCAUAUGGAACUCAGAUAUUGCAAACCUAGUUUUCAAGUUAUUCAUACCUGUGGUUUGUAUAUCCAUGAGGUGUUUUGACCCUAUAGAAGAUUUCACAACUGUUGAUGGACGAAGAAGCUACAAUCCUUACGGCUGAGAGAAGCUAAAAUCCUAUUGUGCAAAUAUGCAACCUAUUAAACUUUUAGUCAUGCAUUGUUGUAAGUUAAGAA